AGGACCUUCUUCUGAGAAUCUCUCACUG
rnacentral:piRNA from 1 species